AUAUAGCCGUCUGGAGAGCGGUCGCCCAGAGCGACCCACCGAAGGGGCAAGCGGCAACGCCGCGUAAACUCUCAGGUACAGGGGACAGGGGGAGAGGC
rnacentral:ncRNA from 2 species